GCGAGCAUAGUUUCAACCAAAACAUUAGACUGUGAUUCUAAAAAUAGAAGUUAAACCCUUCUUGCUCACC
rnacentral:tRNA from 1 species